CAAUCAGGAAGCGCGGGCGAGCGGCGCGAGACGCGGCCGCCGCGUUUUCCAACCCGGACCUGAGCGGCUGACGCGGCUGCAACGCCAGGAUCUGCAUCUCCAAUGGAUACUGAGGGGUUUGGUGAGCUCCUUCAGCAAGCUGAACAGCUUGCCGCUGAGACCGAGGGCAUCUCAGAGCUUCCCCAUGUGGAACGGAACCUACAGGAGAUCCAGCAGGCAGGCGAGCGCCUGCGUUCCCGUACCCUCACACGCACAUCCCAGGAGACAGCAGAUGUCAAGGCGUCAGUUCUCCUCGGGUCUCGGGGACUUGACAUAUCCCACAUCUCCCAGCGAUUGGAGAGUCUGAGUGCAGCCACCACCUUUGAGCCUCUUGAGCCUGUGAAGGACACAGACAUUCAGGGCUUCCUAAAGAAUGAAAAGGACAAUGCCCUGCUGUCUGCCAUCGAAGAGUCCCGGAAGAGGACCUUUGGCAUGGCUGAGGAGUACCAUCGAGAGUCAAUGCUGGUUGAGUGGGAGCAAGUGAAACAGCGGAUUCUCCACACCCUGCUGGCAUCGGGAGAAGAUGCCCUUGACUUUACUCAAGAAAGCGAGCCAAGUUACAUCAGUGAUGCGGGACCCCCUGGUCGAAGCUCUCUGGACAGCAUUGAGAUGGCCUAUGCCCGGCAGAUUUAUAUCUAUAACGAGAAGAUUGUCAACGGACACCUGCAGCCUAACCUUGUGGACCUCUGUGCUUCCGUCACAGAGCUGGAUGAUAAGAACAUCUCUGACAUGUGGACCAUGGUAAAACAAAUGACAGACGUGUUGUUGACACCCGCGACUGAUGCCCUGAAGAGCCGCAACAGCGUGGAAGUGCGCAUGGAGUUCGUCAGGCAGGCCUUGGGAUACCUCGAGCAGAGUUAUAAGAAUUAUACCCUUGUGACUGUCUUUGGCAACUUGCAUCAGGCCCAGCUGGGCGGGGUGCCUGGGACUUACCAGUUGGUUCGAAGUUUCCUGAACAUUAAACUUCCGGCUCCCUUGCCUGGACUUCAGGAUGGAGAGGUGGAAGGCCAUCCUGUGUGGGCAUUAAUUUAUUACUGCCUGCGCUGUGGAGACCUGCUUGCCGCUUCACAGGUGGUCAACCGAGCCCAGCACCAGCUGGGAGAGUUUAAAACUUGGUUCCAGGAGUACAUGAACAGCAAGGACAGAAGAUUGUCCCCAGCUACGGAGAACAAGCUCCGACUGCAUUACCGCAGGGCCCUCAGGAACAACACGGACCCCUACAAACGGGCUGUGUACUGUAUCAUUGGCAGAUGUGACAUCACUGACAACCAGAGCGAGGUGGCCGACAAAACUGAGGACUACCUGUGGCUGAAGUUGAACCAGGUGUGUUUCGAUGAUGACGGCACCAGCUCCCCACAAGACAGGCUCACUCUCUCUCAGUUCCAGAAACAGUUGUUGGAAGACUACGGCGAGUCCCACUUCACGGUGAACCAUCAGCCCUUCCUCUACUUCCAAGUGCUGUUCCUGACCGCGCAGUUCGAAGCUGCCAUUGCCUUUCUCUUCCGCAUGGAGCGGCUGCGCUGCCAUGCUGUCCACGUGGCGCUAGUGCUCUUUGAGCUAAAGCUGCUUUUAAAAUCCUCGGGACAGAGCGCUCAGCUCCUCAGCCAUGAGCCUGGCGACCCUCCCUGCAUGCGGAGGCUGAACUUCGUGCGGCUACUCAUUCUCUACACCCGGAAGUUUGAAUCCACGGACCCGAGAGAGGCCCUCCAAUACUUCUACUUCCUCAGAGACGAGAAAGACAGUCAAGGAGAAAACAUGUUUCUGCGUUGUGUGAGCGAGCUGGUGAUAGAAAGUCGAGAGUUCGAUAUGAUUCUUGGGAAACUAGAGAAUGAUGGAAGUAGAAAGCCUGGAGUCAUAGAUAAGUUUACUAGUGACACAAAGCCUAUUAUCAACAAAGUUGCUUCCGUGGCAGAAAAUAAAGGACUGUUUGAAGAAGCAGCAAAGCUUUAUGACCUUGCCAAGAAUGCUGACAAGGUGCUGGAGCUGAUGAACAAACUGCUCAGCCCUGUCGUCCCCCAGAUCAGUGCCCCGCAGUCCAACAAGGAGAGGCUGAAGAACAUGGCGCUCUCCGUCGCGGAGCGGUAUAGGGCUCAGGGAAUCAGUGCAAAUAAAUUUGUGGACUCCACGUUCUAUCUUCUGUUGGACUUGAUCACCUUUUUUGACGAGUAUCACAGUGGGCAUAUUGACAGAGCCUUUGAUAUAAUUGAUCGGUUGAAGCUGGUGCCCCUGAAUCAGGAAAGUGUGGAAGAGAGAGUGGCUGCCUUCAGAAAUUUCAGUGAUGAGGUCAGGCACAACCUCUCAGAAGUGCUUCUCGCCACCAUGAACAUCUUGUUCACACAGUUUAAGAGGCUCAAGGGGACAAGUCCAUCAUCGGCAUCCAGGCCCCAGCGAGUCAUCGAGGACCGUGAUUCUCUAAGAUCCCAGCCAGAUGGUUGGCCAGAGCCAUCGCUGAGAACCACCUUUCUGGUUUGCUGUCCAUUGCACCUCAUGAGACCACUGCUCAUGACCCUAAAUUGCUCGUUUCUUUACUACCUGGCAGCUGGGUAAAGUUUGUGUCGGGGGCUCCCGGAAGAAAUCGAACAUUAAUGGGGUUGCUACUCUUCUCAAGCUAAAAAACAAAGAUGUGCUAAGUCAGCGAAUAUCACCUUUUAAAAAAUCAAAAUGCUAAUUUAUACUGAUUCCACAAGAAUUCCAGCCCUUUUUUUUUAAAUAUAUUUUUAUUUUAAAUAUUUUUAAAUAGAAGGUCAUUUUAUGAGUGUCAGUUCAGCACUUUCAUGAAAACCAUACUUACUUUUGGUCAACAAUUUGAUGCAAACCUUGUUUCUGCUGUCAUCUCACAGUGACUCCAGAGAGGUACCUAGGACAGUCGUUAUCCCCAUUUUACAGUUGAGGGAUCUGAGGCCUGGGUCAGGAGGUGUCUUGCUUUUGUGGGCCCCUCAGGUGGUAGGUGAAGGAGCCACGUCUGGAAGCCGGGUCUGUCUGAUACCAAGGCCAGUGCCCUCUCCAUUGCCUGUGGGGCCUCCGGCAUUGCUUGGGUCACGCAGAGUCCAGGUAGAUAGAACCCUGGGAUUCCAACAGUGUAUGGUGUACAGUUGAUUUGACAAAAGGGGAAAGAAAGGUGUUUGACCCAAUUAAACCAUUAAUUCCGUCGUGCAAUGGAUAGCGCAUUGGACUUCCAAUUAAACCAUUAAAACAGGCAGUGUUUUAGAAUUACCUUUCCCUUAACAUUUCCACUUAAUGUUUGGUGAGUCUCUCAGUAUGGUGUACAACAGCCAUACCUGAUUUUGGCAAUCAAGAAACUAGAGCCUUGAAAAUCUAUCUCCCGCCUCCACGGAUAUCUGAGGGCUCUCUCUGCUAUGACCCCUACAGGCAUUGUCACUGUCAGAACCUCUGCCUCGUGAGUGACGGUGGGAAUUUUCACCUUUAGCAGCAUACAUAGCAGUGCUCAGAAGUGGUCCUCUGACGUGCAACUCCGCAGCCAAGCCCGAGCCCUGAUUACCUUUGCUGGGAUGAUACCCUACCGGACAUCUGGGGACACCAACGCGAGGCUGGUGCAGAUGGAGGUCCUCAUGAAUUAAGUGCGAUGCUCCAAGGGGCUCCUGGGGC